rnacentral:rRNA from 1 species
GACGAACGCUGGCGGCGUGCUUAACACAUGCAAGUCGAACGAAGUGGCGAACGGGUGAGUAACGCGUAAUCAACCUGCCCUUCAGCGGGGGACAACAGUUGGAAACGACUGCUAAUACCGCAUACUGAAGGAGGGGAUUGCGUCUGAUUAGCUAGUUGGAGGGGCAACGGCCCACCAAGGCGAAGAUCAGGAGCCGGUCUUAGGGGAGGGACGGCCACAUUGGGACUGGGACACGGCCCAGACUCCUACGGGGGGCAGCAGUGGGGAAUCUUGCGGAAAUGACGAAAGUCUGGCGGGGCAACGCCGCGUGAGUGGUGACGGCCUUCGGGUUGUAAAGCUCUGUUGAUCGGGACGCGGUACCGGAAUAGAAAGCCACGGCUAACUACGUGCCAGCAGCCGCGGUAAUUC